rnacentral:rRNA from 1 species
AUUGAACGCUGGCGGCAGGUGCAACACAUGCAAGGCGAGCGGCAGCGGGAAGUAGUUUACUACUUUGCCGGCGAGCGGCGGACGGGUGAGUAAUGUCUGGGAAACUGCCUGAUGGAGGGGGAUAACUACUGGAAACGGUAGCUAAUACCGCAUAACGUCUUCGGACCAAAGUGGGGGACCUUAGGGCCUCACGCCAUCGGAUGUGCCCAGAUGGGAUUAGCUAGUAGGUGGGGUAAUGGCUCACCUAGGCGACGAUCCCUAGCUGGUCUGAGAGGAUGACCAGCCACACUGGAACUGAGACACGGUCCAGACUCCUACGGGAGGCAGCAUUGGGGAAUAUUGCACAAUGGGCGCAAGCCUGAUGCAGCCAUGCCGCGUGUGUGAAGAAGGCCUUCGGGUUGUAAAGCACUUUCAGCGAGGAGGAAGGCCAAUAACUUAAUACGUUGUUGGAUUGACGUUACUCGCAGAAGAAGCACCGGCUAACUCCGUGCCAGCAGCCGCGGUAAUACGGAGGGUGCAAG